rnacentral:lncRNA from 9 species
GUACCACCCUGGGCCUCCUGGGGGAGGGGGCGGGAGGGCAUCGGUCCGACUGCAAACUCCCAAGAGCCAGGGGAGUGGGCUGCCCGCUCCUUUUCUUCUCCCUCCGAGUCGGCCCCGGGGGCGCCAGCCCCCCGGCCCGGCGGGGUCCCAGCUCUCACUCUACCUCUGUCUCCACAUCGCUAACCUUCCCUCCCCUCCCCCUCCCCCUGAGUAAAUGCAAUGACACAUUCUCCCAAAUGCCAGCGAGCUGGCCUCGAAGCAAGUGAUGGUGUUUUUCCUGCUGCCCUUUGUCUGGGCUGACCGCCCCCCCCUGCCUAUUGUCCCGCCGCCUGUCCCAUUUCCAAAAGCCCAGGCUAAGCGAGGCGCUGGGGCUGGGGCAGGUGACUAACCGGCUCACAAUGCCCCCUGGGGGGCAGGAAGAGGGCACCACAGGCCCACUGCCCUGGCCGGGAGGAGAGAAGAGGGCGCUUGGUUGAGGGUUUUCCCCUCAAGUUCACGGGGUCCUUCAUUCUCCUCCCCGUGGCCAGGAGAGUGCUCAUGGGUGGGGGAUUUGUAACUCAUUAAUCAGCACGAGGCACCGGACCAGUUUCAACACCAGAGGCUUCGGGGGUGACUCAGCGAGACCUCUCAGAUUCAAGGCAAUGGACAGACCAAGCGGCCCCGCUUGGGAACCGCGUCCCCGUCAAGACAGUUGGCUUCCUCCGGCCUUUGGGAGGGCGGCCAGGCAAGAAACAGCUCUCAUCUGGGGGCGAGCGGAUGUCCCCACUCCGUGACUUUGCUUGGGGGACAGUCAUUCGGUCUCCAAGGCUUGGGUGUCUAGGACCAGACCACCAAUUAAAUCACUCGGUAAUAAGUUGCCUUUGUUGUUGUUUACUUGCUGUUUCAAAGAGGGAGAGGCGGGCGUGGGCCAGACCUGGACGGUGCUUCCCCAGGGAGUAGCAUCACCGCUCCUGCCCUGGUGCCCCCAGAGGAAGCAGGGUGCCCUGCCAGCCCUGCCCCAGCCCCUCCAGCCUGUGGGUCAGAGCAGGCAGCUUGGUCAUGACCGGCCCUGGGCUCCCAGGGCAGCUCUUCCCUUUUCUGCACUUGGAGG